AUAUUUCGUGGAAGGGCAGACUAAACAUUUUCAGUGAUUGAAGAUUAUAAACCCUAGUUAUCACACACAAGAAAAUCAUAUUUUUUCGAAAAUAUCCAUUUUCAUCAUCCAAAUUAAAAGACUGUCGUCAAGUACUUUUAGAAAAAAUAGCAAUUCGAACACACCUACUCUGUUUUUGUGAUUCAUUAGAUAGGUAUUUCACUUGACCCAUAUAUUUCAUCUUUUCGUACUGUCAUUUUUUUACGUUAUAAAGUCAACCUGUAGCUUUGAUAUAUAAAAAUGAUAGAAUCUGAAGCCAGAUGCUAUAUCAAAUACUCUUGCUUUGUACGUUUUAAAGACAAAAUAUACACCCCAAACAUGCCCUAAACAUAAAAAGGUGCACUCGAUUUUCUCUUUUCGAUACAAUCGUUACCUAUUUUGAGGAAUUUUUUCUUGAUUCACAUAAUGGAAGGGCAGACACGAAUAUUUCUGAACUAAAAGAUUGAUAUGUUCUCC
rnacentral:lncRNA from 1 species